rnacentral:lncRNA from 1 species
GUCAAUUGUUUAAAGAAUGACUACGCGAGUGUAAACUUUUUAAAUGAAUGUAAAAUCAGCGAAUCUUGUGAAUUUUUUGCAACAUUUUAUUUAGUGGAUUCUAUAUUAAAAAGUAGUAAUGACAGUAGUAAUAGCAAUGGCAAUAUAGGAGUAUUCAAAGAUAAUAUUUUGUUUUAUUCUUUUAAUUAUAUGAAUAAUUUGAUCCAAAAAUAUUAUAAUACGAGUUACUCGGAAGUAGAUAAAAUUAACAUUCGUAACAUGUUUAUUAAUAUAUUAUUUUCUUUACCAUUAAAUUUACAUCAUGAUAUAGAUGUGAAUGUAUUAAACAUAAAAGAAGAUUGUUUUCAAAUUUUAAAAAAUAAAUAUAUUCAAACAUUUAUGAAUCAAAAUAAUUUACUUAUGUCUGAUUUUUUGAAUAGCACAAACAAAUAUUUAAUUACUUCUUAUAUAACAGCUGUUAAAAAUAAGUAUGGACAAAUAUUAAGUUUAUUAUGUAUGACAAAUGAUUAUAUAUAUUUUCGAUAUUUAUAUAAUUUUUUAUUAUUUUUUUUGGUUGAAUAUUUAAAAAAGAAUAUACUGUUUGGUAGCUUGUUGGCGAAUUAUUGCGAUGGUAUUGGUAUUAAUGAUUUUACUUGCGAAUCUAAUUUGGUCUAUGUACAACAACAUAAUGAUAGUGUUGGUAUGUUUAUUCCGUUUAAUGAAAAUAGUAACAAGAAGCUUGAAUAUUUCAACAGCUUUCUUCAAAUAUGUAUAAGUUUUUUAAAAGAAAUAUUUUAUAUUAUAAGCAAUGAACAAAUAACACAUUUGAUGGAUAAGCAAAAAUUAAAUAUGCUACGAACAAUUAUAAUAAAUGACGUUCAAGUUUUAUUUCAAUUUUUUUUUUUUUCUUUUUAUUAUUGUAUAUAUUAUAAAAACAAAACAGAGUUUAAGUUAUUAAUUGAGGUGUUAAAUGAAUUAUCUUUUUUUUUUCCUUCUUAUAUAUUUUUUAAUGUUUUAAGUAUAACACCAAUAAAAUUUAUGUUAAAUUUGUUAUGUUUGUGUUUUAAGAAGAAUAUAUUUGGGAGUGUCCUUGAUUCUAGUAAUAGGAUAUGUAAUAAUGCUUUGGUUAGUAACUGUAUACAAAGCCAAGGUAUACAUAACAAUAAAGACAAUUUAAACCAUUAUAUUCAUUUGUACCAGCAAUAUUUGAACGAACAAUAUUUAUCUAUUUAUAAUUAUCCAAAUAUUCGUGCAUUAUUUACUGAAUCG